CAGAUCAAGUACCAGGGAUUAAACUCCUGGUGUUUUGCAUCCAAAUGAGAUUUCUACUGGAACAGAAACAGUUGCUUAUAGAAUUGAUUGUGUGAAACAUCGUGCUACAAUUUGGAUGAUCCUUUGAUGACUGGACUUUCUGGGAUAGAAGUUCCAGUAUUUUGGCAGAACGUAGAGAUCCCUGUGAAGAUUGUGGCUGGAUUGCCUUCAGUGGAGAUUAUUCCUGCCUGCCUGCUGUGGGACACCGAGGGGUCAAAUACAUAAACAGUUGGAGAAGGAGACGUGACAAGAAGGGCCCAGUGGGGUCAGUUCUGCCUCCAGCAGGCAGAGCCAGCCCUCGGGUUUAAUUGGGAAUUAAUAAACCAUCCUGGGCAAGGGCUCGGCUCCACUGAACCCGUGGGUGUUUUGUGUUCAUCUCUGUGUUUGCUGUCGGGGUUUUGUGUUCUCUGCCUUUGCA
rnacentral:lncRNA from 12 species